rnacentral:rRNA from 1 species
UACGUAGGGUGCGAGCGUUAAUCGGAAUUACUGGGCGUAAAGCGUGCGCAGGCGGCGCGUUAAGACAGGUGUGAAAGCCCCGAGCUUAACUUGGGAAUUGCGCUUGUGACUGGCGUGCUGGAGUGUGGCAGAGGGAGGUGGAAUUCCACGUGUAGCAGUGAAAUGCGUAGAUAUUGGGAGGAACACCAGUGGCGAAGGCGGCUCACUGGACCGGAACUGACGCUGAGGCGCGAAAGCGUGGGGAGCAAACGGG